CAGUUCGGAUCGCAGGCUGCAACUCGCCUGCGUGAAGUUGGAAUUGCUAGUAAUCGCGGAUCAGCAUGCCGCGGUGAAUACGUUCCCGGGCCUUGUACACACCGCCCGUCACACCAUGGAGUUUGUAACACCCGAAGUCAGUAUCCUAACCGCAAGGGGAGCUGCCGAAGGUGGGAUAAGCGACUGGGGUGAAGUCGUAACAAGGUAUC
rnacentral:rRNA from 1 species